CCUACGGGGGGCAGCAGUGGGGGAUAUUGCACAAUGGGGGGAACCCUGAUGCAGCGACGCCGCGUGGGUGAAGGAGCGUUUCGGCGCGUAAAGCCCUAUCGGUAGGGAAGAAGGAGGACGGUACCUGACUAAGAAGCACCGGCUAACUACGUGCCAGCAGCCGCGGUAAUACGUAGGGGGCAAGCGUUAUCCGGAUUUACUGGGUGUAAGGGGGGCGCAGACGGCAGCGCAAGCCAGGAGUGAAAGCCCGGGGCUCAACCCCGGGACUGCUCUUGGAACUGCGCGGCGGGAGUGCAGGGGGGGCAGGCGGAAUGCCUGGUGUAGCGGUGAAAUGCGUAGAUAUCAGGAGGAACACCGGUGGCGAAGGCGGCCUGCUGGACUGCGACUGACGUUGAGGCCCGAAAGCGUGGGGAGCAAACAGGAUUAGAUACCCUGGUAGUC
rnacentral:rRNA from 1 species